GGCCUUGUAGCUCAGGGGUUAGAGCACUGGUCUCGUAAACCAGGGGUCGUGAGUUCAAUUCUCACCUGGGCCU
rnacentral:tRNA from 2 species